GGAAAACUCUGAGGGGGUGCAGAAAAGAGCCACAAAAAUCAUUCAAAGGCUGGAGAAAAUGCUGUACAGUGAGAGACUUAAAGAGAUCAAUCUGUUUAUCUCAUCAGAAAGAAGAUUGAGAGGCGACUUGAUUACAGAGCCUUCACUUUGCAUUUAGAAUAUUGAAGAAUAAUGGAUAUUGUAUUGCUUGCUUAGAUGUGCUUCAGUACAAACUUCCAUCCAUGAUUUUCUAACAAACCAGUCUUCAUAAGCUUGAUCAAGUUUAAGUUGUUUGCAGAUUCAGUUUUCUUUCUCUCUGAAAUAGUCCGCUAAGGGGAAAAAAAAUAGAAGACAUUUUCUUUUUUAAUAUUUGCCAUAAUGGAAAUGCUCCACUUUAAAUCAACACUGGAAUGUAGUGUAAUUGAAUGAAAGGAAUCAUAAUCUAACUUGCAUCAGUAUUUGCUUGUGAAUACUUAAAAUAUAUGAAUAUCUACAUUUACUAUUAGUAACUCCAAAUAUAUUUUCAGUGUGUCAUUUGAAAUAAACAGAAUAUUUCUUAUUGUAAGAUUGUGACGUUUAGAAAUUCUUGUCUAAACACCCCUCCUUCAGAUCAGCAAGCACUUUACAAACCAAUCAUAUGCAGAAAUCUCCCCUUGAACUACAUAAAGUAGAAUACAUAAAGCUACUUUGUUUUCUCUGGAGGAAAAGAUUAAACUGAAUAACUAAAGGCUGUGCAAAAAAUAAACCUCUCGAAACCUCUGUCUGACCGAGCAAACACAAGCUAAGUUUACACUGCAAUCACAGGUGUGACUGAGGGGAUACACCUGAGUGCGCUAGCUUUAAUCUAGCUAGCUCAGAUACUGUAGCAGCGAAGCUGUGGCAGUGCAGGUUUCAGCACAGACUAACCCUGAGAGUAAUUAUCCAUGGUUCUGGGCGAGCUUGCACAGCCCAGGCUGAAGCACACACUGCCGCAGCUUUGUAUGUCUACUCCAGCUGCGAUCACACCUCAUGAUUGAAGAAUAAACAUACCCUGAGGGUUUGUCUACACUUAAAACACUACAGCGGCACAGUUGGACCACUGUAGCACUUCAGUGUAGACAUUACCUACGCCAACGGGAGGGAUUCUCCCAUUGGCAUCGGUAACCCAUACCCUUGAAAGAUGGUAGCUAGAUUGAUGGAAGAAUUCUUCUGUCAACAUAGCGCUGCGUACGUAGAGACUUAGGAUGGCUUAACUAUGCCACUCAGGUGUGGAUUUUUCACAGCCCUUAGUGAUGUAGUUAUGUUGACCUAAUUUUAAACUACUUUUGCUCUCCACUCCAAGCACAGGAACAGAGUAGCUAAGAAUCAGGCCACUAAUAUUAACUAUAAUGUUUUCAAGCGGGUUUUCUUAAAUCAAUCCAUAGUAUCCCUAUUAAAAAUUAACUAUAAUUAUAGGAUUGUGAACAGUAAAAACUUUUCUUUUUAAGAUUUGUGUUUAUGUGUUUAUUCAGUGGAAAUUGAAGGAGAUUGAUGGCAUGUUUCUGAUUAAACAACACAAGAUCCAUUUUAAUUUUCCUUUUCAUGGGCUUUCAAGAUUUUCUGAAGUCCCAAAUGUUCCAGGCAGUUUGCUGGAAUGAAAUGCUGCCCCCACUUGUAACAUGUCUCUACAAGUUACAUUCAGACAUAUAUGCACAUGAAGUAAUUACCCAGUUUCUCUAUAGCUUCCACACACACACUGGGAUACAUGCCCUCAGAGUAAGUAGCAACCAGGAUGUAUGAAUCUGUUUUCACAGCUAUCAGACCUCUGUCCUCCUAGAUAAAGAAGAAAACUGGUUAAAAGUUGCAGGGUUUUUCUAAAUAUAUAUACUAUUUAUCAAUGUAUGCUAGACAAGGAUGUUUUCUAUCUUUAAGUUGUGUGUCACUUUGAGGAAAAGAAGAUACUGUUUUAGAGCCUAAAUCAAGACUGAUAUGGAUAGCAGAUAUAAAUUCAUUUAAGAUGAUGGGUUUUAUAUAUAUUUGAAUUUUUUAAUCAAGCCAAGCAAUAGCUGUUCUGGUUUUCUAUUAUACUGCAUGUUCCCACCUUUAUUCAUAAAUAAUGUUUUUUAUAAAGCACUUUGAAGAGAUAAAGUGCAAUCUGGGUGCUAAGUAUAACCCACAAAAACGUUAUUAGAAUAUUAAUAAAAUA